rnacentral:lncRNA from 1 species
GCUUUAAACGGUCUGAUUCUUUGAGGGCAGUGGAGGGGAAGCAAUGUCCUUUUUGGCUGCAUGCACUGCUUGGCCAUUCAGUCCAUGAACUGGUUAGUGCAGGUGGCUUUCACGGGUGCUGGAAAAUUAUAGUCUCGGAACCAAACUUGUAUCAGUAAACACACUGCCUCGGACUGGCCACUUCAAUUCCGUUGAACCUUCCACAGUUCAAACAGGGCACCUGUGUCAGUCUGAGAGCUUAGCAGGCACAGCUGACCCUGGCUGCCCAGCAAACAGUUUAUGUUGGGGAGCAAUCUAGAGAUUUCCUGAGAUAAGGAUGCUAUUACGGGCUGACAAAUGUGGAACGGAGCAGAGUGGGCAGCUUUUGUCCAGACUGACCCAGGGUGAGAAUGCUGGGAUUAUUGCUGAUUGGGGAUAAAUGGCAACCGGUGAUUUAUUUGUUCAAGUGAAACCAGCCAAGUUCAUCCCUCAACACCAUCUCCCAUCUCUUUAAGCUGCAGGGAUGAUGAAAUGAGAAUAUUAAAUCCAAUGGAGGUCCAUUUUGCUCACUAUGGUAAACACAGAAAUUCAUCCUGGUAUCUAGAACAGAGUAAAUCCUCAAUAAACACUUGUUGAAUGAACAAAGGAACAAACCAAUGAAUUAAUGAAACAUCUUUACCUUGUGUCUCAUUUCUUAUCACUUAUCAUUUCAAUAUGUGCAAGAACUCAGAGUACAUUUUUCAUUUUGUGUAUGUGAAACUUACCAACAAAAUAGUAGCUAAAAAGUUGUAAAACUUACAAGUUUUCAACAACAAAGUUGAAAUGUAAAUGAACAUCUGUGCUCCCCGAAAUACAUAAUAGGCAAGUAGAGAAAUCUAGAAAGGAAAGGCCACAGGCUGAGGGAGUUAACAGAUGCGAUAGUCUAUUAACAUUAAUUUUCUGAAGUGUAUAUUUCAGAAAUUUGCUCAGCCUCGCUGAGUCUCAGUUUCCUCAACUGUAUACUGAAGACAAUUUCUUUAUUUACCAACCUGAAAUAUUCAUAGUGAGUCUAAGAUGGAAGAACAGAUGAGUAAAUACUUUAAAAGUGUAAUAAGAGGCCAGGCGUUGUGGCUCACACCUGUAAUCCCAGCACUUCGGGAGGCCAAGGCGGGCAGAUCAUUUGAGGUCAGGAGUUCGAGACCAGACUGGCCAACAUGGCAAAACCCUGUCUCUACAAAAACUACAAAAAUUAGCUGGGCGUGGUGACACGCGCCUGUAAUCCCAGCUACUCAGGAGGCUGAGAGGCAUGAGAAUCACUUGAACCCAGGAGGUGGUGGUUACACUGAGCUGAGAUUGUGCUGCUGCACUCCAGCCUGGGCAACAGAGCAAGACUCCAUCUCAAAAGAAAAAAAAAAGUG